UGGGGAAUUUUCCGCAAUGGGCGAAAGCCUGACGGAGCAAUACCGCGUGAGGGAGGAAGGCUCUUGGGUCGUAAACCUCUUUUCUCAGGGAAGAAGAUCUGACGGUACCUGAGGAAUCAGCAUCGGCUAACUCCGUGCCAGCAGCCGCGGUAAUACGGAGGAUGCAAGCGUUAUCCGGAAUGAUUGGGCGUAAAGCGUCCGUAGGUGGCCUUUCAAGUCUGCUGUCAAAGCGCGGGGCUUAACUCCGUAAAGGCGGUGGAAACUGAAAGGCUAGAGUGCGGUAGGGGUAGAGGGAAUUCCCGGUGUAGCGGUGAAAUGCGUAGAGAUCGGGAAGAACACCAGUGGCGAAAGCGCUCUACUGGACCGCAACUGACACUGAUGGACGAAAGCUAGGGGAGCGAAUGGGAUUAGAUACCCCAGUAGUCCUAGCCGUAAACGAUGGAUACUAGGUGUUGCCUGUAUCGACCCGGGCAGCGCCGUAGCUAACGCGUUAAGUAUCCCGCCUGGGGAGUACGCACGCAAGUGU
rnacentral:rRNA from 1 species